CCUCAGGGGUGACACCUCAGAGCUCCUGUUUACCUCUUUAGCCACCAGGAAGACAUUAGGACUCCCAGAGGGUGACUCCAGGGGCAGGUGGCUUGGAGGACUGGCCGUGCAAGGAGGCAGCAAAGGGGCGGCCAUCUGCAAGCUGAGGGCAGAGGCCUUGGAGGAAGCAGCCCUGCCAGUGCUGGUAACUCCUGCAGGUCGGAAGUCCAAACCAAGGUGCUGGAAGGGCUGGUUCCUUCCGGACCCUUCAGGGGAGAAUCUUUCUGCCUCUUUGGCUUCUUGAGGCCCCUUCCUGGCAUUGCUUCUUUCUCCACUGACUCCUACCAUCAGCGCUGAGUCCUGCCUGCCUCUUAUAAGAUCUUCAGAGGCCACCUGGGAUGUCAGAAGCUUCCAGGAACCAGGAGGUAGCUGCAUCUCCUGUCCCUUCCCUGAGUCACCUUGCUGGACUCCACAGUGUGGUGCAGACAAGAAGCUGCAGGGGACAACAUGGAAGGAAGCGGGGAUGGAGGAGAUGGAAUGGGAUGGGCUCUGGGCCCGGCCAAGCAGAGCAGGAUAGGGCUGAGAGUCAUCUGAGCACAGGUGGUUCAAAUGGCAGAGAAGCUCCACGCUGGAGCGGGGAAGAGCUUGGGCUUUCCGGCCAGAAAGCGCAGGUUUUGGCCACGGCUCUUCUGCCACUCACUAGAUGUGGGAGUUUGGAGGCGUUACCCGAGCUCUGAGCCUUACUUUCCUCAUCUGAAAAAUGGGAAUAAUGGUAGGGUUAAAUUAAACCAAAUUUGGUCUGAGGAUGCCUCUGCACUUUGAGUCCAACUGCGACCUUAGCAGCAAAUGAACUGCAGGCCUAGCUUAGGAGUGUACUUUUGUAAGAAAUAGCCGAGUCUUAGCCAAUCACAGCAGCUGAGCUUCUAUAAAUCGCAGGUGGCUGCUGAGUAGUCCAUGUUCAAACACGGCAAACCAAGCUGUGACCAAUGAGCUGUCUCUGCAGCUCACUUCCAUUUUCUGUCUAUAAACACUCCCUGCCCACACUGUGGAGUGGAGCUCAGCCCUUGGAACCUCUUCUGGUCUGAGGGCUGCCCACUUCAUGAAUCCUUUGCUUAAUUAAACUCAAUUCAUUUCAAAUGAAA